GGAAGGGCGGAGCCGGCCCCGAGGCACCGCCCCCUGCCCUGCGCGGCUGCUGGACCGACGGGCGCGCCCAGGUAGGGGGGCGGCUGAGCCGCGCAGUGCGGACCCUCGCGGGGAACUGCGCCGCCGCCACCAUGUCUCAGGAAGGUGUGGAGCUGGAGAAGAGCGUCCGGCGCCUCCGGGAGAAGUUUCAUGGGAAGGUAUCCUCCAAGAAGGCGGGGGCUCUGAUGAGGAAAUUCGGCAGCGACCACACGGGAGUGGGGCGCUCCAUCGUGUACGGGGUAAAGCAAAAAGAUGGCCAAGAACUAAGUAACGAUCUGGAUGCCCAGGAUCCACCAGAAGAUAUGAAACAGGACCGGGACAUUCAGGCAGUGGCGACCUCCCUCCUGCCACUGACAGAAGCCAACCUACGCAUGUUUCAACGUGCCCAGGACGACCUUAUCCCUGCUGUGGACCGGCAGUUUGCCUGCUCCUCCUGCGACCACGUCUGGUGGCGCCGCGUGCCCCAGCGGAAGGAGGUAUCCCGGUGCCGGAAAUGCCGGAAGCGCUACGAGCCAGUGCCAGCUGACAAGAUGUGGGGCCUGGCUGAGUUCCACUGCCCGAAGUGUCGGCACAACUUCCGGUGAGGGCGCUGACCCCCAGCUCCCCCUCAGCCCUGCCCUACCCCAGCCCUGCCCUCCCUGCCCUGGCCCCACCCUGGCCCAGCCUCGCCCUCGGACCCUCACAGCCCUGCCCGCCCCCAGGGGCUGGGCACAGAUGGGGUCCCCGUCCCCCUGCUACGGGUGCGGCUUCCCCGUGUAUCCAACACGGAUCCUCCCCCCGCGCUGGGACCGGGACCCGGAUCGCCGCAGCACCCACACUCACUCCUGCUCAGCUGCCGACUGCUACAACCGGCGAGAGCCCCACGUGCCUGGGACAUCCUGUGCUCACCCCAAGAGCCGGAAGCAGAACCACCUGCCCAAAGUGCUCCACCCCAGCAACCCUCACAUUAGCAGUGGCUCCACUGUGGCCACCUGCUUGAGCCAGGGCGGCCUCCUGGAAGACCUGGACAACCUCAUCCUGGAGGACCUGAAGGAGGAGGAGGAGGAAGAGGAGGAGGUGGAGGACGAGGAGGGCGGGCCCAGGGAGUGACCCCUGCCAGGUGCAGAUACAAACCAGACACGGUCUGUGGCUACUUUGUGUUAUUAUAAGAUAUGAGCUCAAACCGAGAUAUGAAUGACCUUGGGGAGCCAUCUGGGGCCAAGAUAUUGACAGGGGGGAUUCCUGGGUCCCAUUUCAGCGCCCAGGGUCACAGAUCCCCAGUGGGAAGUUCUAUGGGACACACUGGCACUGAGUCACAAAGAAGGUGUGGCCAGAACAACUUGGGCUCCUGCUGACCAAUGUCCCCUGGGGCUUAGGGGACAGAGGAACAGAGAGUCACAGCUUCAAGGGCCGAAUGAGCAUGGCGGCCUUCCUGAGAGAGUAUGCCCCACCACGAAACUCAGCCCAGUAGACACCAUCCUGGUAGCGGCUUCGGUAGUGGCCGCCGUGGUGCCACACACCGUUGAGGUUGGAGUGGGCACAGGCAUGGUACCACCAGCCUCCCCGCUGGUACAGGGCACAGUUACCUGAGGGGAGAGAGAGAGUCCAUGUCCUCUCACCAGAAUAAAAGCCUCUACCUGCACCUCACAGUGCAAGGCUUUUGCCAGGCAUCCCCUGGCCCCUCCCAUUCUUAUUGAAUACAAGCCCUGAUCUUCCAUCUCCUCAGCAAAAAAAUAGGAGCCCUGUCCCCCCAACUUUCUUCAGAAUAAUAGCCUUAAUUCCUUCCCUAUCUCCUUACCAAAGUACAAGUCACACGUUUCCCACCUUUUCUGCAAACUAGGAGUCUACCGUUCAUUCCUUUAUCAAAGAAAAGAAAAUUAUCUACUUCCUUUCUGGCAUAAGAGUACUAGCUCUCACCCUCUGCCCUUUACUUGAACAGGAGUCUUGAUUCUUUUUUUGCCUCAUCAGAGAAGGAAUCUGGACUCCCCAUCCCCUCACCAGGAUAAAAGUCCUGACCUUUGUUCUCUUGACAGAAUAAAAGCUUGCUUAUCCUUAUACUUACCA
rnacentral:sRNA from 1 species